CGGAUCCACUCCUCUCCCACACUCCCUCACCUCCCCCCUCCCUCCCCCUGCCCACGCCCCACAUACCUGGGCUCCUGCCCCUUCCACCCCUCUCUGCUCCCUCCCUGCCCCCUUCCCUUCCUCCCCUCCCCUUUAUCUCACCUUCACCCCCUUUCCUCCUACACCCCUUCCGUGUCCCCACCCCCUGCCCUCAGUCCUCCUUCCUCCUCUUCCCCACAUCCCACCUCUCCUUUCCCCCUCCUUGUAGGCCCUCUUUCUCCUCAGCCCCCCUCCCCCCGCCUUUAGUCUCCUACCUCCCCUACAGCCUCCUGCCCCCGCCUCCUCACAGCCCCCUACUUACCCUACUGCCUCCCUCCUGGGGCCCUUUCCUCCCCAAGGGCCCCUCUGUUUUCUCCCAUUCCAGCCCCUGACCAGGCCCUGCUCCUCUGCUGGGGUCGGCCCCGCACAGUAAGCUGCCUGGGAGCCCUCAUUGCCUUCCUGGGCAACCCGGCCAAAGGCCCCCCGAGCAGCUGCAGCCCUGGAGGUCAGCCUCACCCUGGCAGACCGCAGGGGCCCCUCCUCACCGCCGACCUCUGCACCUUCACCCGUUUGCCUGGUGUCUGAGGAAGGGCCCGCAGGAAGAGCAUUCCUUUCCCAGGGUCUUCCUCAGGAGGGAUGAGAGGAAGCAAAAGCUUGGUCUGCAAACGGGCUGGUCCUCCCGACGGCCACAUCCGCAGGAAUGACCCUCAGAGGGGCUCCCCAACUGGCUGGGAGAUUCGUCCAGCUGGGCGCUCUGCUACACAGCCCCGUCAAGGGCAAACAGAUGACAAAACUGAGACACAAAAGAUGAAUCAGCUUGGCAGUGUUCACAGAGCCAGCGUGUGGAAAAGCCAGAAUCCAGACCCAGACCCGAACUGCAGCGUCCCGGCUCUUACCCCUAACCAGCCAGUGCCUCUCAGCUUAGUGCUCUUCCACCCGGCUUUUCUUUCUAAAAACCUCAUAGGUCGCUGUGGGGAUGGGGCCACGACGGAAGAGAAGGUGGUAAAAAGGGCGAGUUGCCUAAGUGACUCCACACCCACAGAAGGAGAGGGGGAUGAAGAAAUCUGCCAGGAGGGUGCCUCCCGCCAGUAUCUGAUGAAGGUAAGAGCUCUCCUUUGGAGUAAUAUGUUGUCUGUGCCAAGGAUGGAAUGAAAACAGAGUAUGAUGGCUCAUCUUGACUUUUUCCUUACUUACAAAUGGAGAGCCCCAAAGUCCAAAUCCUUGGACCAGCUAUCCCCCAACUUCCUCCUUAGGGGCAGAAGGUGAGAGCAAGCAAACAUUUGAGUUGAUUCAUGAAACUUUACUGGGCAAAGAAUAGAAAAUGUUGGUUUGGACCCUCCUUCACUAUCUGGGGCCCCUCCACAUGAGCUCCUUCACCGAUCCGUCUCCUUCAGCUGCUUCCCCACUGUGACUCUACCAGCCCCUCUCUAUCCCCCCUUCAAGCCUGAGCACUUUCCCUGCACCCCCACCUGGAGUUGCCCAAUUCACAUGCUCUUGUUUAUUCACUGCUCUUCUGAGGAAGGGUGGGGUUGGUGUCAGGGUGACUUACUAGGUUUGACAGGGGCUUGGUGGCCUCAUGGGGAGCCCCUCAGACGCUGGCUUCACAUGGCCCCUCCUGCUGGCUUCACAUGGACCCAACGGCCCUCCCUGGAGCCCACCUCACAGUGGAUGGGACUGUACCUACUGGGCACUGGUGGGGCCCAGCAUUCAGCUGACGGCUGAAAAAACCUCCGGUCUACAUUGGGCUAAAAGGGAGGAAGAAUGUUUCUUGCCCUUUUGAGAUGUUUGCAAAAAUCCCCAAAAAGCAAUUGUGUUGUCAGAGUACAGCCUUGAAUCAGAAAGGUGGUUAGAAGAAUUUUAAUCACCCAGGAGCUUGGCAUCAACAUAAGAACAUGGCUGAUACUCAAGUCCAGAGAGACUAGGAGAACUGGGGAGUUUCAGAAGUUGGUCAAAGAACGUGUUGCCUUUGGCAAAACCACACGUGUCAAACAAUCCGAGUGUCUAAUCAAUCUGUAUCGCUCUCAGAGAGACUUUCAGCACAAGGUUUCAGAAGCCAGGAAAAGCCUAAUAAUGUAGGACAUCAGGUGUCCCCAGCAACCCUGGGGUGAAAAGCCAAAGAAGGUGGUUCUUAAACAAGGGCUUGGCCAGGCCCAGUGGCUCACACCUGUAAUCCCAGCACUUUGGGAGGCCAAGACGGGCAGAUCAUGAGGUCAUGAGAUCGAGACCAUCCUGGCUAAAACGGUGAAACCCCG
rnacentral:lncRNA from 1 species